rnacentral:rRNA from 1 species
AUUGAACGCUGGCGGCAUGCUUUACACAUGCAAGUCGAACGGUAACAGGCCGCAAGGUGCUGACGAGUGGCGAACGGGUGAGUAAUGCAUCGGAACGUGCCCAGUCGUGGGGGAUAACGCAGCGAAAGCUGCGCUAAUACCGCAUACGAUCUCUGGAUGAAAGCGGGGGACCGAAAGGCCUCGCGCGAUUGGAGCGGCCGAUGUCAGAUUAGGUAGUUGGUGGGGUAAAGGCCCACCAAGCCAACGAUCUGUAGCUGGUCUGAGAGGACGACCAGCCAAACGGGGACUGAGACACGGCCCAGACUCCUACGGGAGUCAGCAGUGGGGAAUUUUGGACAAUGGGCGCAAGCCUGAUCCAGCAAUGCCGCGUGCAGGAAGAAGGCCUUCGGGUUGUAAACUGCUUUUGUACGGAACGAAACGGUCCUGGUUAAUACCUGGGGCUAAUGACGGUACCGUAAGAAUAAGCACCGGCUAACUACGUGCCAGCCGCCGCAGUAAUAC